GACGAACGCUGGCGGCGUGCUUAACACAUGCAAGUCGAACGGAAAGGCCCUGCUUUUGUGGGGUGCUCGAGUGACGAACUGGUGAGUAACCCGUGAGUAACCUGCCCUUGACUUUGGGAUAACUUCAGGAAACUGGGGCUAAUACCGGAUAGGAGCUCCUGCUGCAUGGUGGGGGUUGGAAAGUUUCGGCGGUUGGGGAUGGACUCGCGGCUUAUCAGCUUGCUGGUGGGGUAGUGGCUUACCAAGGCUUUGACGGGUAGCCGGCCUGAGAGGGUGACCGGCCACAUUGGGACUGAGAUACGGCCCAGACUCCUACGGGAGGCAGCAGUGGGGAAUAUUGCACAAUGGGCGGAAGCCUGAUGCAGCAACGCCGCGUGCGGGAUGACGGCCUUCGGGUUGUAAACCGCUUUCGCCUGUGACGAAGCGUGAGUGACGGUAAUGGGUAAAGAAGCACCGGCUAACUACGUG
rnacentral:rRNA from 1 species